GACGAACGCUGGCGGCGUGCUUAACACAUGCAAGUCGAACGCUGAAGCUUGGGUGCUUGCAUCUGGGUGGAUGAGUGGCGAACGGGUGAGUAAUACGUGAGUAACCUGCCCUUGACUCUGGGAUAAGCCUGGGAAACUGGGUCCAAUACUGGAUACUACAUUCUCUCGCAUGGGGGUGUGUGGAAAGGGAUUUACUGGUUUUGGAUGGGCUCACGGCCUAUCAGCUUGUUGGUGGGGUAAUGGCCUACCAAGGCGACGACGGGUAGCCGGCCUGAGAGGGUGACCGGCCACACUGGGACUGAGACACGGCCCAGACUCCUACGGGAGGCAGCAGUGGGGAAUAUUGCACAAUGGGCGAAAGCCUGAUGCAGCGACGCCGCGUGAGGGAUGACGGCCUUCGGGUUGUAAACCUCUUUCAGCACGGAAGAAGCGAAAGUGACGGUACGUGCAGAAGAAGCGCCGGCUAACUACGUGCCAGCAGCCGCGGUAA
rnacentral:rRNA from 1 species